ACUCUGAGCAGUGGAUCACUCGGCUCACGGGUCGAUGAAGAACGCAGCUUGCUGCUAUAAUUGGUGUGAAUUGCAGGACA
rnacentral:rRNA from 1 species